rnacentral:lncRNA from 1 species
AUUCACAACUCACCACUUACUCUAACAUAGAGGUCACCGACAUUACCUUUCCUUCAUGAGUCAAGUGCCCUCACACAACAAAAGAGAGUAGUUCCACACAAUGAAAUUUAAGAACACUUAGGAACUCAAGAUAGAAAGAAUUCACUCACUCUCAGAAAUAACAUUCAUAUGCCAUAACAUAUGCACCAUAAGCUUGCCCGUAGUGU